GACGGGUGAGUAACGCGUGGGUAACCUGCCUCAUACAGGGGGAUAACAGUCGGAAACGGCUGCUAAAACCGCAUAAGCAUACAGUAUCGCAUGGUACAGUGUGAAAAUAUUUAUAGGUAUGAGAUGGGCCCGCGUCUGAUUAGCUAGUUGGUGAGAUAAAAGCUUACCAAGGCGACGAUCAGUAGCCGGCUUGAGAGAGUGACCGGCCACAUUGGGACUGAGACACGGCCCAAACUCCUACGGGAGGCAGCAGUGGGGAAUAUUGCACAAUGGGGGAAACCCUGAUGCAGCGACGCCGCGUGAGUGAAGAAGUAUUUCGGUAUGUAAAGCUCUAUCAGCAGGGAAGAAAUUGACGGUACCUGACUAAGAAGCCCCGGCUAACUACGUGCCAGCAGCCGCGGUAAUACGUAGGGGGCAAGCGUUAUCCGGAUUUACUGGGUGUAAAGGGAGCGUAGGUGGCAUAUCAAGUCAGAUGUGAAAGCCCGGGGCUCAACCCCGGGAUUGCAUUUGAAACUGGUAUGCUAGAGUGCAGGAGAGGUAAGUGGAAUUCCUAGUGUAGCGGUGAAAUGCGUAGAUAUUAGGAGGAACACCAGUGGCGAAGGCGGCUUACUGGACUGUAACUGACACUGAGGCUCGAAAGCGUGGGGAGCAAACAGGAUUAGAUACCCUGGUAGUCCACGCCGUAAACGAUGAUACUAGGUGUCGGGGGUCAAAAGACCUUCGGUGCCGUCGCAAACGCAUUAAGUAUUCCACCUGGGGAGUACGUUCGCAAGAAUGAACUCAAAGGAAUUGACGGGGACCCGCACAA
rnacentral:rRNA from 1 species